rnacentral:lncRNA from 1 species
AGAAAGUUUUCUGAUAACCACUGGAAUUUUUCCUGUCACAGCAGGGAACGCCACGGGGGAGCGGGAGCCUGUGCCCGUCAGCAACAAACACACGGGGUGUCUUGGCUGGGCUGUGCUCCUCACCACGACAUCAAAAUAAGCCUUUCAUGGGCUGUUUCCUGGGAAAAGGGUUUCUUUUUCCACGCGAGCAGGAAUGGUGGGAGGCCGGGCCGCAGCCCCGGCCGGCAGCGCAGGUGGGUUCGGUCUGCGCGCGGCACUGUGGGAGCGCUGCUGCCAGCGCCGAGGGCAAGGGAAGGAAAAGGGGAGGCGCGGGGGGAGCUGAAAAUUUUGCAAGAGCAAACAAUCCUCCCGCGGGCAGCGGCUUCUUUCAGCUUCAGCUGUCCUGAAUAUGAAAUCUCCUGCUGGAAUACAGCUUGCAGUGGCAUGAGAUACAGCACAUCAAACGCUAUCCUCGCCACGAUAGGCACCCUGCCAGCCCGCGGAACGAUGAUGCUCGCCUUUAGCGUGCUUGCAAUGUGUACGGCUGGAGCGCGUUUGGAGCAGCGAGCAGCGCUUGGAAGAUGUAGGAAACUUAUUAGAGGAGGAAGAUGGCCAGGGAUAAGGUCUUUUCUCUCGAGGAAGGUUUGACCCCCCUCUCUGAAAACACUGCGAGGGAGGCGGGGGCCGCUGCCCCU